rnacentral:rRNA from 1 species
UUCCGGUUGAUCCUGCCGGACCCCACUGCUAUCGGGAUGGGACUAAGACAUGCUAGUCGUGCGUCUCCAAGCCACGGUGGAGGCGCGGCGCACAGCUCAGUAACACGUGGCUAACCUACCCUUGGGACGGGGACAACCCCGGGAAACUGGGGCUAAUCCCCGAUAGGUGAGGACUCCUGGAAUGGAUCCUUGCCGAAAGGGCGUCUAGACCACGCUUUUAGGCGCUGCCCAAGGAUGGGGCCGCGGCCGAUCAGGUUGUUGGUGAGGUAACGGCUCACCAAGCCUAAGACCGGUACGGGCCGUGAGAGCGGGAGCCCGGAGAUGGACACUGAGAUAAGGGUCCAGGCCCUACGGGGCGCAGCAGUCGCGAAACCUCCGCAAUACGCGAAAGCGUGACGGGGCCAUCCCGAGUGCCGUCUGCUGAGGACGGCUUUUCCCCAGUGUAGACAGCUGGGGGAAUAAGGGGAAGGGCAAGUCGGGUGUCAGCCGCCGCGGUAAUACCCGCUCCCCGAGUGGUGGGGACGCUUAUUGGGCCUAAAGCAUCCGUAGCCGGCUGGGCAAGUCCCCUGUUAAAUCCAAGCGAUUCAAUCGCUGGACUGCGGGGGAUACUGUCCAGCUAGGGGGCGGGAGAGGCCGACGGUAUUCUCGGGGUAGGGGUGAAAUCUUAUAAUCCCGGGAAGAACCACCAAGUGGCCGAAGGCUGUCGGCUUGGAACGCGCCCCGACGGUGAGGGAUGAAAGCUGGGGGAA